CCUACGGGAGGCAGCAGUAAGGAAUAUUGGUCAAUGGGCGCAAGCCUGAACCAGCCAUGCCGCGUGCAGGAAGACGGCCCUAUGGGUUGUAAACUGCUUUUAUCAGGGAAUAAACCCCCGCUCGUGAGCGGGGCUGAAGGUACCUGAGGAAUAAGCAUCGGCUAACUCCGUGCCAGCAGCCGCGGUAAUACGGAGGAUGCAAGCGUUAUCCGGAUUCAUUGGGUUUAAAGGGUGCGCAGGCGGAUUGGUAAGUCAGGGGUGAAAUCCCACAGCUCAACUGUGGAACUGCCUUUGAUACUGUCAGUCUAGAGUAUAGUUGAAGUUGGCGGAAUGUGUCAUGUAGCGGUGAAAUGCUUAGAUAUGACACAGAACACCGAUCGCGAAGGCAGCUAGCUAGCUAUAACUGACGCUCAUGCACGAAAGCGUGGGGAUCAAACA
rnacentral:rRNA from 1 species